GUCACUUUGGCGGAGUGGUUAACGCGCUGCCCUGCUAACUCAUAAUUAGCAGUCUAAGGCAGUUCCUUCGGGAGCGUAGGUUCGAAUCCUACAGGUGACG